AAGAUCAACCUCUUAUCUUGAAUUCAUCACUUCAUUGGAAGCUUAUAGGAGGCAAAAAUGAAGAUGGAGAAUCAUUGGUUGGUAUGAACUUGCCUCCAAACACACACCUUUUGAUGAAACAAAAGCCAUUCCAAGGCCGGACUGUAGUAUCUGUAUUAACUGAUAACUGGAGGAUCUUACCGUCAGUUUAUAAUUAUCUCCUGGGACUAGCUGGAACAUGAAAUACUUAUAAGUAUGACACCAAACCUGACUAAAUUCUGCCAGGGAAGCAGAGACAGAUUUCUACGGAUAUUCAGUAUGGAUAUUCUGUAGCUAAUACUGUGCACAUUGAUGUUCUGUGAAUAUUUUCACACAAAAUCACCCCGCUGACUUCUGGUGGAGUUAGAUGUGGCAGUCCCUGAGGGAAAUUGGAGACAAAACUAUAUUUCAACUCAAUUUAGGCCUUAAUACAGAAAUAUCUCACUUUGAUGUCAUGAAACCUUAUUUUCUCUCUGCCAAUAAGUGCGGGGUGUCCCAUAAAUGUAAUCACUCUUUGACUGCACAUUACUCAUAAUUCUUGUUUUGAUUUAGUUGUUUACUGGCAUACUGAUGAGUCUAGAUAGUUAAAUUAAAGAAAAAGAAAAAUUAAAUGUUCUCAAAUAAAAAAAACAUAUUAUUAAUGGGCAGUCAAAAAUGUAGUACAUUUUAGGACACCUAUUUUUAAAAUUAGCAGUUACGAAUGUAAUAGGAGUAUUUGAAGCCUUAAACAAGAACUGCACUUUUUAAAUGUCAUACAGAUGUGAUUUGAUUCUAGUAUUACAUUAUAUUAGGGACGUAUUACCAAUACAUUCUUGAUUACAUCAUAGAUAUCUCAGUAUAAAUUAAAUUUUCUCAGCCUUUUAUUGGUUAAUGUGGUUGCUGUCAGUAAUUCAAUCUCUGCAGUCUUACCAUUUCCUGGUUGCAGCAUGAUUUCGUUUAUUGAUCAUCCAGCCUUAUCAGGGUUUGAAGAGUUACCUACUCAUCUUGUUAAUUACCUUCUACAUACUGUGUGGGAACAUGUGAAGCAGCUGGGUUACAUAAACGAGCUGUCAAUAAAAAAGAGAGACUUUGUUGAA